rnacentral:rRNA from 1 species
CGAGCGGACAGAAGGGAGCUUGCUCCCGGAUGUUAGCGGCGGACGGGUGAGUAACACGUGGGUAACCUGCCUGUAAGACUGGGAUAACUCCGGGAAACCGGAGCUAAUACCGGAUAGUUCCUUGAACCGCAUGGUUCAAGGAUGAAAGACGGUUUCGGCUGUCACUUACAGAUGGACCCGCGGCGCAUUAGCUAGUUGGUGAGGUAACGGCUCACCAAGGCGACGAUGCGUAGCCGACCUGAGAGGGUGAUCGGCCACACUGGGACUGAGACACGGCCCAGACUCCUACGGGAGGCAGCAGUAGGGAAUCUUCCGCAAUGGACGAAAGUCUGACGGAGCAACGCCGCGUGAGUGAUGAAGGUUUUCGGAUCGUAAAGCUCUGUUGUUAGGGAAGAACAAGUGCAAGAGUAACUGCUUGCACCUUGACGGUACCUAACCAGAAAGCCACGGCUAACUACGUGCCAGCAGCCGCGGUAAUACGUAGGUGGCAAGCGUUGUCCGGAAUUAUUGGGCGUAAAGGGCUCGCAGGCGGUUUCUUAAGUCUGAUGUGAAAGCCCCCGGCUCAACCGGGGAGGGUCAUUGGAAACUGGGAAACUUGAGUGCAGAAGAGGAGAGUGGAAUUCCACGUGUAGCGGUGAAAUGCGUAGAGAUGUGGAGGAACACCAGUGGCGAAGGCGACUCUCUGGUCUGUAACUGACGCUGAGGAGCGAAAGCGUGGGGAGCGAACAGGAUUAGAUACCCUGGUAGUCCACGCCGGAUGAGUGCUAAGUGUUAGGGGGGUUUCCGCCCCUUAGUGCUGCAGCUAACGCAUUAAGCACUCCGCCUGGGGGAGUACGGUCGCAAGACUGAAACUCAAA